CUGAAUAAGGUGAGUACAAAAAAAUGAAAAAUGAUGAAUGAAAAAAAAAAGAAUCUAAUGGCACAAAGAAAAGCACUCACCAAAGGAAAAGACUCAGUUGGAUGCAAGAAAUAUACUCAUAAAGAAAAGAAAAAGAAGAGAAGAAAAAUUGAGUAGUUGAGUUGACCAGCAAAAAUGUGUAUCUGAAGAUUCCCAACAAUGGUACUUUAGAAUAAACACAGUGAAAAGAAUAAUAACAUCGAAUCUGAACCCAAAAGCCUUUUUUAUUCC
rnacentral:lncRNA from 1 species